GAUGAACGCUGGCGGCGUGCCUAAUACAUGCAAGUCGAGCGAACAGAUGAGAAGCUUGCUUCUCUGAUGUUAGCGGCGGACGGGUGAGUAACACGUGGGUAACCUACCUAUAAGACUGGGAUAACUCCGGGAAACCGGGGCUAAUACCGGAUAAUAUUUUGACCCGCAUGGUUCGAUAGUGAAAGACGGUUUCGGCUGUCACUUAUAGAUGGCCCCGCGCCGUAUUAGCUAGUUGGUAAGGUAACGGCUUACCAAGGCGACGAUACGUAGCCGACCUGAGAGGGUGAUCGGCCACACUGGAACUGAGACACGGUCCAGACUCCUACGGGAGGCAGCAGUAGGGAAUCUUCCGCAAUGGGCGAAAGCCUGACGGAGCAACGCCGCGUGAGUGAUGAAGGUCUUCGGAUCGUAAAACUCUGUUGUUAGGGAAGAACAAAUUUGUUAGUAACUGAACAAGUCUUGACGGUACCUAACCAGAAAGCCACGGCUAACUACGUGCCAGCCGCCGCCGUAA
rnacentral:rRNA from 1 species